rnacentral:tRNA from 1 species
GGGGUGGUGGCGCAGUUGGCUAGCGCGUAGGUCUCACAAUCCUGAGGUCGAGAGUUCGAGCCUCUCUCACCCCA